GCACACACAACGAGGAUUAUCUAAGGACACAUGUCCAUCCAUCUCGCCUUAAAAAGUGAAUGGGGAGCGGCCUGACACACACAGAGCCUAUUAGCCAAGUUGGGCUCCCGUGGAGAGCAUUGAGGUGGACGCCUCCAAUGUGGAAUGAGCAUUCCUCCUGAACCAUCUGUCUCUUAAGGUCCUGAAGCUCCACCCUUGUGCCUUCCUUCCUUUCCUCAAAUCUCCAAAACAAAACUAUGAAAUCAGCCACUGGGCAGUGCAGACGAUGCAGGAGGGCCUGGAAGAAAGGAAGCACUCGCUGGAGAAACCAAAACACCAUUGGACCGACCAGACGAACCUAGCCUUCAUCCACACAGCAGCUAUCAGUGUACCAGCACUGAGUCUGAGACCUGAACCUGCAGACAUGCUGCAAAGCUCCCGUGAGUCAGAACUUACAUCCUGAAUUGUGAAGUGGGAAAACCUUCACAUGACAAACAGCUGCUUGUGAAAUCGGAGCUGGACUGUUAGGUAUUGUAAUAAAAGAAAAAAAAAAACAGACACAGCUCAAAUAAUGAAAAAGAGACAGUUGAAGAAUGGAAAAGCUUUUGAAGCCAGACAGACUGAUGGAGCGGGGGAAAAAAAUACAAUUCUACAAAUCUGUAUCAGUGAAUGAGUGAAUGAUUAAUUAAUUUUUGUUGAAUGAUCUGUUCUAGCCGUGCGAGAUAUCAGUUUCCAUUUCUUUUUACACUUUUACAGAAGAUCUCAAGAGACCGCCAGUUCAAAAGACGGUUCAAUUUAGAGCUCCCAUCGGAAAUGGUUUCAGAGAGUCUUUGCCAUACGUUGGGCUUUGAUGUGUUUUAACUGUCGUAAUCUCACUGUUCGGAGAUGGGAAAAUAAAUUCUGUUAAUUUUUCCAUUGUAAGUGCUCUUUUUCCUGACUUCACAUUUAAGAUGCUUUACAAAAAAGCAUUAUCACAUGAAUAUUGAUGUAAAACUUAUUGUUUUUGUUUGUUUUAAACAGCAAUAUCACAUUUUUUUAAUUUUCUAUUAAACUAGUGAAAGUAAAGCACCUGUUCUUGAGAACUGGGACAGAUCAUGUUCUAUCAAAGAAUAAAAUAAGAAAAAAUUAUAACUUACCAGCACACUUAGCCUGUUUCUGUGGUGAAACAUUAUUUUAAAUAAUUUAUUUAUAUGAAAUAAAUAUAAUUUAUGAAAUGUUUUGAUCUGCAUUCAUUUUUCUAACAUCUAAAUUUGCAGUGUCUGAAAAC